UAUCGCACUACCAUGCUCAAACAAAUUGUAACGACCUGUUUAGUCGGUUCGAGCAGUAGAACUAUUUUUGAUAAAAACUGACUAGGUCGAUGGAUCACGCGACGGACCGUCAUGGUCGCGACGGACCGUGAUGGACUCCGUCGUCCCAUACUUGUGUAAUUCCUUCUGUUUCUCUCCUCAUUACCUUUGACGACAGGUAGGACGAGCCGUCAUAGGCACGACGGUCCGUCAAGGGCCUUCGUUCCAAAACACUUCAACUCUGAAAUUUGGGUACUGGGAUAGACUCUCUGAACUUUGUGACGGGCAUGCAGGACAGACCGUCGUAGAUACGACGGACCGUCACAAGCUUCACUUCUGAAUUUAACUCUCUGAACUUUGUGACGGACCUGCAGCACGGACCGUCGUAGACACGGCGGACCGUCACAAGCUGCUUAA
rnacentral:misc_RNA from 1 species